AUUGAACGCUGGCGGCAGGCCUAACACAUGCAAGUCGAACGGUAACAGGAAGCAGCUUGCUGCUUUGCUGACGAGUGGCGGACGGGUGAGUAAUGUCUGUGAAACUGCCUGAUGGAGGGGGAUAACUACUGGAAACGGUAGCUAAUACCGCAUAACGUCGCAAGACCAAAGAGGGGGACCUUAGGGCCUCUUGCCAUCGGAUGUGCCCAGAUGGGAUUAGCUAGUAGGUGGGGUAACGGCUCACCUAGGCGACGAUCCCUAGCUGGUCUGAGAGGAUGACCAGCCACACUGGAACUGAGACACGGUCCAGACUCCUACGGGAGGCAGCAGUGGGGAAUAUUGCACAAUGGGCGCAAGCCUGAUGCAGCCAUGCCGCGUGUAUGAAGAAGGCCUUCGGGUUGUAAAGUACUUUCAGCGGGGAGGAAGGGAGUAAAGUUAAUACCUUUGCCCAUUGACGUUACCCGCAGAAGAAGCACCGGCUAACUCCGUG
rnacentral:rRNA from 1 species